rnacentral:rRNA from 1 species
UACGUAGGGAGCGACCGUUAUCCGGAUUUAUUGGGUGUAAAGGGUGCGUAGAUGGGAAGGCAAGUUGGUUGUGAAAUCCCUCGGCUUAACUGAGGAACUGCAACCAAAACUAUCUUUCUUGAGUGCUGGAGAGGAAAAUGGAAUUCCUUGUGUAGCGGUGAAAUGCGUAGAUAUUAGGAGGAACACCAGUGGCGAAGGCGACUUUCUGGACAGUAACUGACAUUGAGGCACGAAAGUGUGGGGAGCAAAC